UCUGGGGAAUAGGAAGGGGGCCAUUACCUUGCCAGGCACAGCCGUCAUCCGGGUCUUCCAGCAGAGCCUCUCAGUCAGACCCUGACUACAGCCCUUGGGCUGCUCAUCACCUCCGGCAGAAUCCAGGCUCGGGGCUGUUCCGUGAUCGCCUAAUUGUCAGGGGCUGCAGGAGCAGGGCCAAUGUCGUACAACUCCAUCAGGAGACUACUGGGGAGAAGGCGAACAGAGCACCGGCCACAGAGGCAGAGUGAAUAGUUAUUAAAAAGGAAAGAGAAGUGAGAAAAAAUCUAGCUGUACUGUUUUCUUUUUUUUUAAAGCAGGUAUACCCUUAACUCUGUGGCCCUGACACAAGGUACCACAGAGCUGACCACCUGCUGGCCAUGUGUUCUGAGCCUCCUGAAGGCCCUGGAGGCAAGUGUGGGAUGCUUGGAAGCCCAGAACUGUUCAGAACUUUGGUCUCUGAAGGUCACACCAAAGCACCUGGCACUGGAGUGGAGUACCUGCCUCACGGUGCAUAAAGGGAGGAAGGAGCAGGAGGCAGAGCAGUGGUGAAGGGCAACCUCACAGGACUUCCAGGAUUUUUCACCACCUGUGCUCAGACAGGAUUGGGAGUGGCCCACCUCCUCAUUGGUGUAGGAAAGAUCAAACAGACAGUAGCUGCCUCACCCACUUCAAGAGAUUCUCUGCAGUAUUUACACAAGAACGAAGAUGAUUCACCAGGGUUCAGGACUGAAAGCAAACUGCUCAGAUCACCAGGCCAGCGGGAUCCCGCUUAGGUUCCGACCAUGAGGAACACCUGUCUACACGAGAGGAGAAGAUGGCAGAGGUACAGAGGCCGUCUUGCUUCUAUCCCAAAAGCCAUGCAGGAGCAGGUAAGGACCCUGGGAGGCUUUGUGCUGCUGUCGGGUAGUAGCUUCCUGCAGUUCCUGGGUAGCACUCCUCUACCUUCUAUUUUGUUCCACCAGCUUUUCCAACAAAUUUAUAACCAAAGCUCCCAUGUGAAAUCUGCCUGCCACACCUAGAGUAACUUCUGCUUCAUUGACUAAGUUUGCUGUUAGGGCUGGGCGUGAUGAUGCACGCCUGUAAUCCCAGC